UCUUCAUUCCGCACACUCUCUCGCCAGUCAGAGAUAGCGAGAGAGCAUGAGAAAUGAAGAGA
rfam:Pristionchus pacificus strain PS312 contig1819, whole genome shotgun sequence.